ACUCAACCUAGAAACAACACGGUGAAGAGCCACUUCCACUUGCUCCAGGCCACAGAGUUCUCUCUCCCGUGACAGUUUCCUUCCUGUGCAAUAGUAUCGCCUCUGGAACUUCCUCACCUGCCACCUGGUGCUGCUACAUGUCCACUUGGGCUCACAUAUUUUCCCACCGAUAGACAAGAGAUUACCAGAAAAGGGGUGAGGAAUCCAGAGAGAAUGUCUGCAUAAGAAGGAGGGUGGAGAUUUCUUACUGAACUAAAGGCUUCAAGAAUUGGCAAAUACCUGCUCAAUGUUUUUCCAGACUUUUGUAUUUCUGAUGACUGGAUGACUCCACCUGGACCCGAGACUCAUGACUCACCCAGUCCUGUGGCCCCACCCAGAAGUGGACUCAGAGCAAGAGGACCAUUUUCCACACCCCAAUGAGUGCAUCCCCAACCAAUCAGCAGCACCUGUUCCCUAGCCCCCUGACCACCAAACUCUCCUUGAGAAACCGUAGCCUCCAAAUUUUCUGGGAGGCUGAUUUGAGUAAUAAUAAAACUUUGGUCUCCUAUGUAGCUGGCUCUAUGUGUAUUAAACUCUUCCUCUAUUGCAAUUCCCCUGCCUUGGUAAGUCGG
rnacentral:lncRNA from 1 species